CCAUAAUCAAUGAGGCAUUCUAGAUGAAUCUUACUUUGACACAAACAAUGCAAUAUACUUUAAAAGUAGAGUUAACUCUGAGCUGGACAAUACUCCCCUAUUAAAACUCCUUUAUGAGGGAGAGACAUCUUGUCCAUUCAAUCCUUUUUAUCAGUAAAAGAAUGACUUUCAGGAUUAAUCAAUUUGCAAAUGGAAAUGAAGAGCCACGAUUUGAACAGCAGAAGUUUGCGGGGCCCCUUUCACGUGGGAUGUAACAAGCGCUUUUCUUGCUCCAGGAGCGAUAGCAUACAAUUGUUUCAUUCUAGCCGGCUGGACAGCAUUUCACCUUUUG